rnacentral:rRNA from 1 species
GUCUACUGCCAUACCACCUUGAAUACACCCAAUCUCAUCUGAUCUUGGAAGCUAAGCAGGAUGGAACCUGGUUAGUGCUUGGAAGAGAGAAGAAGCAGAGU